UGUAACUCAUUCAUUUCUUUUGUAACUAUCAUGUGCCAACAUGGCCACAACUCAUAAUGUACAAUUAUAAGUGGAAAAACAUGUAUCACUAAAUUAUUUUUCUUAAAACAUGAAUACAUAUGGGUUGUCAAGGCCUCUGACAUACUAUACAAAAUGAACCUCCGUCUACAAAGCCUCAAAGAUUAUUCGACAUUAAAUGGGACUGGGUACCGGCCUACCUAUAAGCCUGUAGCAAAAUUCUGAUAUGAUGACUUAUAGACUCGGCUGCACUCUGAAUGAGGUGGAGUCUUACCGAUCCUUCGCUAAAUGCUAAUCUUGUCUACUAUUGGGGUUCGUCAAACUGAUUAUCUAUACCUGCAGGCAUGAAUGCAGCGUCGCCAACAAAAAGACGUCAGUACGAAUAAUGUACUGAGUAUGUAAGGCAGAAUUAAAAUAUAAUAGUAAGUCGACAUUAAUUACAGACAUAGAAGAAACAUGGAGUAAAAGACUCAACCUGUAAGUCUCGAUAGCUCUGUAAAUCAUAAAAUAUCUAUAAUGCCGUGCAUAUGCGUGUAAAUGUCAUGUAAUGCAUAGGUCUAUAUGUACAUAAUAUCAUCAAGCCUCUGAGGGCAUCCCAUCAUAUCAUCUCAACCACUGUGGGCAAAAUCAUCAUCGUAUACCAGCUGAUCAGGUGGUGGUGUGUAUAUAACGUCAUAAUCUUUCCCAUAUCCCAUAUAAAUAUAUAUACGCAUAUAUAACGUCAUCUGGUCAUGGGUCAAUGUGCAUGUAUAAAUGCAUGAAAUGUAUGUGAAAUACAUUAAUAAAAUCUCUCGAUACGUCAUACGACCAUUAUACCUCGGACUAAUAUCUGAAAUAAACUUUACAAACUUACAUAUUUUACCCAACCAUAAAUGCAAAGCAGCACAAGAACGAGGACUUUAAGUGACAAGAAUGCACCAACUAACAAAGUGCAUGAGUAUAACUACGCAAUGUCUAUUAAGAGAUCCUUAAGUUUUAUCAUGUUAGGACAUCUUAUCAUUGUUGGGCGAGUGAAAUAGUCCUUUAUGGAGAGCAACCAAGAAGGUUAAUUUGCACGACGAGUAGUGGUAACAAGAUGAACAAUCAUAAGCUAUAUAAGGUAUCAUUCCUAGGUGAUAUAAACUACCAGUGAAAAUACUUUUAAAAUCCAUCCAUUUGAGGAAAAAAAAAACCGUUCAUUAUAUUAAUAAAAAUCUCCGAUAAGUCAAUCAAUCAACUAUUCCUCGGCCUCAAACUAAUUAGGGUCGAUUUUACGAAACUUCUAUAUAAGUUCAGUUCUAUAGGGAACCAUUCUUUCAAAUACUCAAUAGUUUCUCUUUAAGGGGCGUUCUCUUAGUAAAACUAGCCCUUUCAUGUUUCUAUUUUUUUACAAUUACACAAUAAAAAAGGAUUUGAACAAGCGUAAGUAACAAACUACAACAUAUUAUAAGAACUUAAGUUCAAAUACGAAAAAAAUAAAUGUCACAAGAAAAAAUAGCAUAAUCCAAGGCCAAAUAAUUUUUUUUUUUUACCAGGAACUGAAGAGGUAGCUCCAGUGCUGAAGCAAAUAAAGGACACAAAAGCUAUUCCCAUCACCAAGAACAGAAUAAAGAAACCAAAAGCUUUCAUACUUGAAGUACAGAUAUUCACAAAACUGACAAAAUAAGAUUGAUAUUUGAUUUUUCUUUCACACCCUUUUCAAGAAAAGACAAGUGUUUGAAUAAAUUCAACCCGUUUGAAAAAAACUCGUCUUUGGUAGAUAAAAAAG
rnacentral:lncRNA from 1 species